GGAAUGGAUGGAGAUUGUACAGAUUAAGCAGGUGAUGGGAGUGCACCAAACAGAAGAAAAGUUGACCAAGUUGGUUAGUAAAAUGGUGGACCAGCAAAAGCACAAAGCUAAUAAGGUGAAGGAUUUCAUAGGGAGAAAGGGAAGGCAUCGGACGGCAAAGGAGUGAGACAUUGGCUCUUGUGCUCUCUAAGCACAUGCUGAGUUAUACUUUACUAUUCAUCAUGGCCAUAGGAUAUUGAUAGGUGUUCGCAGAAUUGAUGGGUUAUAUAUAGGAGCUUGUUUAAUUUGCUUCGCUGCAUAAGAUCUAUUUUAUUUUAAAUUUAGAUCUUAAUAUUAUGCAUGAAUUACGAUAUUUAAAUUUAUUUCUAUACUUAAUUGGCAUGAAUAAAAAAGAGGCAGAACCCUUGAAUGUUGA